rnacentral:lncRNA from 1 species
GGGACGCCGGCAUGAGCGGCCCGGCCCAACCCUCACGUGGAAGGCGCGCGCCGGCGGCGGCUACGACGCACGCGCCGCGCCCAGGACGACGUCUCUCGUGAAGCACAGCCCGUCGCAACAGGGCCUUGGGCUUUGUGCAAUAGAGGGGACCAAACCAGGGGACCGGUGCCGCGAGAACAGACGAAAGCCCCACAGAUAGCGCGACAGCCCUGGAACCCCGGGAGGCCCUGCGAGUUGGACAGCCUUCUGCUCCUUCUAGACGUUUCACUGCGUGGAAUUCGCCCCUUUAUCGAAACGACCUUGCUGCAACGGAGUCGCUGAGAAAGCGGCGCCGCUAUCGCCUAUUCUUUGAUCUUGUUGCUUUGUUGGCUGCAAAAGAAACCGUCACUGCAGUAUGGAUUGCCGCGGAGGGAUGCCUUCACCGAAAAACACCCAAGGAAGCUCCAAGCGGAAGGUAAGGCGCCAAGAUGGUCUUACCGAGUACGCGGCCUUUUUCGAAAGCUUGAUGGGAGGACCCAGUAACUAUGCACGCGGUGCAAGCGGCAACCCCAAGGCGCCCUCGCUGGCGGACAACUACAUGCAGCUGUCUCACUUCCA